UACGAAGGGGGCUAGCGUUGUUCGGAUUUACUGGGCGUAAAGCGCACGUAGGCGGAUCGUUAAGUCGGGGGUGAAAUCCUGGAGCUCAACUCCAGAACUGCCUUCGAUACUGGCGAUCUUGAGUCCGGAAGAGGUGAGUGGAACUCCUAGUGUAGAGGUGGAAUUCGUAGAUAUUAGGAGGAACACCAGUGGCGAAGGCGGCUCGCUGGGCCGGUCCUGACGCUGAGACGCGAAGGCGUGGGGAGCGAACGGG
rnacentral:rRNA from 1 species